UGGGGAAUUUUGGACAAUGGGCGCAAGCCUGAUCCAGCAAUGCCGCGUGCAGGAUGAAGGCCUUCGGGUUGUAAACUGCUUUUGUACGGAGCGAAACGGCUUCUUCUAAUACAGGGAGCUAAUGACGGUACCGUAAGAAUAAGCACCGGCUAACUACGUGCCAGCAGCCGCGGUAAUACGUAGGGUGCGAGCGUUAAUCGGAAUUACUGGGCGUAAAGCGUGCGCAGGCGGUUAUAUAAGACAGAUGUGAAAUCCCCGGGCUCAACCUGGGACCUGCAUUUGUGACUGUAUAGCUAGAGUACGGUAGAGGGGGAUGGAAUUCCGCGUGUAGCAGUGAAAUGCGUAGAUAUGCGGAGGAACACCGAUGGCGAAGGCAAUCCCCUGGACCUGUACUGACGCUCAUGCACGAAAGCGUGGGGAGCAAACAGGAUUAGAUACCCGGGUAGUCCCUGAGCGGGCUGGCAAGGCGCAU
rnacentral:rRNA from 1 species